rnacentral:RNase_P_RNA from 1 species
GCGGAGGGCUGGAUGGCCGCGGGUCGCAAGAUCCGAGGAAAGUCCGGACUCCCGUUGGCAAGGGUGCCGGGUAACGCCCGGCGGGGGUAACCCCAGGGAAAGCGCCACAGAGAAGAGACUGCCCCUGUUCGCAGGGGUAAAGGUGAAACGGUGGGGUAAGAGCCCACCGCGGACUUGGCGACAAGGACGGCACGGCAAGCCCCACCCGGAGCAAUGCCAAAUAGGGGCCUCGCGCGGGGGCCGGUCUCGAAAGGGAUACCGCCCGCAGGGACGCCAACGCCCGAGAGGCCCGGGUUGGCAGCUUGACCGCCGUGGCGACACGGUUGGCAGAGGAAUGGUCAUCCAGGGGCGAAAGCCCCGGACAGAAUCCGGCUUACAGGCUCUCCGCGCGC